UUGUGCAACUCAGCAAAACAGCAUGCACUUUUUCCUUCUGGCUUUUUAUUUUUUAUUUUUUCCUUUUCUUGUUAUUGCUUUAAGCCACCCCACGUAACAGCUUGUUAAGGGCUUCAGGCUAGUUGGUAGGUGCUAGGUAAUGUAAAAAGAUUGAUGUCUACCAGAGAAACUUGUACAAAAAGAUACUCCAAAAAGAUCAUACCAUCUAUUAACUGUCAGCUGGACUGAUUGUUGUGGACCAAGAAGUAUAGGUAAUAAAAUACCUCGCUUUCUUUAUAGCUUUCUCAGACUACUGCUAUUAUUAUUCUACCUCUAAGGCCAGCCUCCCAGUAGGGUUCUCAUCUAUCAGAACUUUUUUAACCAAUUAACCUUUCUAUUUAGCAGGAAAAAAAUAUGUGAAACAUUUAAACAGAUACGACUUUAAAAGAUAUUGUAUAAAUUUAAUAUAGCUUAUUUGUCAUGAAGUCCAUAAAACACUCUUCAACCUUUAUAUGUUUAUAAUAUAAAACCAAUGUGAAAGAACAAGUAUUUUAUUAGAAAGGUAACAAUAAAACCAAAUUAUAAAAAGAAGACACUAAAUAACUAUCUAGUACUAAGUAUUUGGCUAGGCUAAUUUCCUGCAGACAAUAAAUAUCUACUAUGUGUACCUACCUCAACCCCAUCCACUCAGCAAUAUCUGUGAAUUGACUGGGAAAACAUAUUAAAUUGUGCUGCAGAAUAUGUAAGAAGCAGAGUCAAAGUAUUAGACAGUUUGUUCAGAGUUAAACAUACAUAUAAAAGGACAGGGUUCAUUUAGUCUUACCUGUGAAUCUCUGAGAGUAUCUAAUUUAUUGUUUUUAUUAAUAAAUAUCAUGUCCAGUGUGAGGGUUAGGGGCAAGAGAGAAGGAAUUUAAAUACUUAGAACAUUUUAGAGAACGUUCCAAGAGAAACCAAAUACCUCAGACUAUUUAGAGACAGAAGUAUUUUGCAGUGAAUGUGCUAUGAAAGAAUUUAUUAAAGUAAUUACCUUUACUAUUCACUGAUUUCCAUAGCAACUGCACAAAUUUUGAUUUCCUUGAAUUGAUAUUUAAGACUGUUUUGAGGAGUAAAUUAUUUCUCUGGUUUACUCAUUCCUUUAAUGCCCUCACCAACCUUCACCCACUAUAGUGGAAAAAAAACAGGACCACAAACUUGGUGAAGUUGGCUACAAAUAACUGAUUUUUCCUUAGUACUAUUCUAUGACCUGUGUUAAUUUGUUUUCAAACCAAAAAACAGUGUUCUAUGGAAGAUUUCAGAUAAUUUCUACAAACUCAAGUUCAUGGUUUUACAUAUAGAUAUGAUAUGUGAUAAGGUAAACACAGAAGUCAUAGAGGAAAUUCAAGUGAUUUCAGAUGCUCCUCAUAGGCAUGCUUCCCCCAGUCUCAUCAUGCACACUUGAAGCCACCCUUUUCCAGAUCAACUGCCUGUGAAAGAUUUUCAGAACUCUGAGCCAUUACUAAAUGGCCAUGGAAAGAAAUUAAGCAAAGAAAAAUUGGACAGACUUUCAGGAAAAGUUUCCUAAUUGUUAAAACUAUUAAAAUGUGGAAUAAAUAUCCUCUGAGGGAGAGGAUGGAUGCCCAUCUCUGAGGCUUUAAAAACAGGAUUUGACCAACACUUUGGGAAGAGAAAUAAGGGCAAUAUUCAUUACUUGGCAAGGAAGUGACCUGGAUGACAUAAUGGUCUUUUCCCUCUUUCAUGCUAAUGCCUCUUUAAUGUUUCCAUUUAAGUAGUAACUUAGUUUCAAAAGCAGACAUUUUAAUGUGGGAAGAGUACUCAGGUUUCAAUGAAAACCUCACCAGAAAAAGUCAGGAAUGAAGGCUACCAUUGACCCUGUACGUGGAUUACUUUUGUAUUUGACCACGUAAGACAAUUGGAUGGGCACCUAAUAUAUUUCUUGGUACACUCCUAUUGUGGUUGGUCUUCUUUAUCUGUAUGUCUAUCUUGUUCAGUCUGCGCUUCAGCUUUGCAGGAAAAUAGAAAUUUUUUUUCUGUGCUUGUUUAUGCUAACCAUGGUAUCUACAACUGCAUCUGCUGCCUUUACACGGGACUGCAAACCUGUUUUUCCCAACCUUCUGUUUUAUGGGUGUGCACACCCAUAAAUCCCCUGUGGCUGGGUUAAGGGAACAUACAAGCAGCUCUUCAGCCUUAAGAAUGUGAUGGGAGAGAUUCAGGUAGAUUUGAACUGUCAUCAUCAAUCAAGACCAAGGAGAAGGCUGCUUUCCAGGAUGUACACAUGGCCUCUGUUUGCUGUUGCUGUUUUGCUUCUUUUAAGAGGUGAACCAAUAUAUGUAUGUCUGUUUCUACUGUCACUUGCAGCUCAACAGAACCCUGUAAUAUACAUGAACAAGUUUCUGGAAGUUAAGAGAGAUGAGAAGUUCACCAAGUCACCAACCUGACUGUUACCAUGAGGAAUUCCUUUACCGGAGAACAUGCUGUCACAAUAGGUUAAAUAUAUGUUAUACAGGUCCAAAGAAUAUUCAUGUUCAAUCUUAGUUAAAAAUAAAUAUUUAUAGUUAGUUAAAUUAGGUAUAGCUUUUAUUUCCCACAUUAUAAUUACCUGUAUUUUUUAUACUUCAUGUAACAUCACCUAAAAUUUUAGUAUUAGAUAAAUCAAAAAAGUUA